GAUCAACCCACAAAUCGAGGGAAUCAGGAUAAGGGACGAAACAUUCACCGUCGCUGCAUACGCAGACGACAUCCUCCUAACCCUAACUAACCCCCUCCCAACCCUAGAGGCCCUAAUGUCAACCCUACAAGAAUACUCAACGAUUUCAGGAUAUCAAUUAAAUGCCACAAAAUCAGACCUCAUGCCGCUAAACCUCAACAAUAUCACUACCUCCACCUUGAGAAGUAACUUCCCCUUCCAUAUCUGCCCAACAGAGAUCACAUACCUAGGUAUCCAAAUCACCAACGACACCACCACUCUAUACACUGCCAACUAUCCCCCCCUCCUGCACAAAGCGUACUCGGACCUAGAACGCUGGAAACCGAUGUCCAUCUCCUGGCUCGGAAGAAUAGCGUCGGUCAAAAUGAAUCUCCUACCUAAAUUCCUUUAUGCCUUCCAAGCGCUUCCCAUCCCCUGUAAAAAAUCAGACCUCAAAC